rnacentral:tRNA from 1 species
UGGCUCAGUGGUAAAGAAUCUGCCUGCAAAACAGGAGACCCAGGUUCAAUCCCUGG